CAUAUUCAGCUGUCUUAAAACAAACAUGGGUCACAGCCUGUAUAUAUUCACCUAGGUCCAUAACAACUAUAACUAUCUAGAAAAUAGCUUCCCAGAAAGAUAUGUCUGCAUUUGAACUGCUUUAAAAAAAUUAUUAGCUAUCCGGUUAACUUGAUAUCGAAUUCUAACAUUUAAAAGUGUAAUCUGGCAUUUGUCUUAUGAAAUCAAUUCUGUCAUCAGCAGCACGCAAUUAAUUUUGGGAUAGUCUGGGCUUGGUAACCAUCACAGCCUUCAGUCAGGGCAGCGCCAUAUUUCAUUUAUGAACGGAUGAAAACAAGGUUGUGAAGGAUACAAGUACAAUUCAGUGGAUCGAGCUGUUGUUUAACAGCAUACUGAUAGUUCAGCUGAUAAAACAUCUUUCUGGAAAGAAAGAACAAAAAAGAACAAGAACUACAUAAAACUUUUUUGAAAGUAGUGAGUAGUGAAAAUGACAUGAACUAGGAUCUUUAGACACUGUGUGCCACUGAAAAAACUGUUAGCCUGGUUUUAGUCCCCAUUAAAUUCAAAAGGGUGUCUAACCUGAUUAAGAUGGUCUUUAAAUUGUAGUGGAGUAUUUUGCAUGGGCAAACACUACUCAUGUAUUCUUCAGAUUAUUAUUAUGAAGUUUUAAAAGAUGAUAUCUGUCAGCUUAGACUGAGAUCUAGUUUAAGGCUCCUCCCAGCUGUUGGUAGUAAAGUAAUCUGGUGGUAAUCUUCUUAGCUCACACAACCUGCGCUCUGCGGUUGGAAGGUUUGUCCACAUUUCAUACAGACCAUUAACUGAAGAUGAUACAAUAGAGGCAUUAGCAAAUAUAACAUGCUGCUCCUGAAGGUGAGUGAAUACUGUACAGAUGAAGCCUAAUUAUCAUCGAUGCAUGGUUAUGCCUGUAUAUUCCAUUAAGCUGGAUGAGACCUUGUUUUUUUUUUUUAAAUGAUACCCGAGCAGGUUUGUAUUGAGACGGCAAAAUAUGACUACUUGUUGGAAAACACAGAUGAGCCUCUAUAUGCUCCAAAAAAAAACAGUACAACCUGAUAGAAGAGCCCCCGCUGAGCAGACUUCCCUGCGUGCUCACAUGUGUUUCUGAGCCCUUCGUUCAGCAGACAGACUGCACUUUUGAUCUUCCUCACCACAUCAUGUGGAACAAGAACAUUUACUCGGCUCCAGACACUGCAAGUGGCUCACAAAACGCCAAGAGAGAUACGAGACCAAGUGAUGCUACAGGCCUCAGAUGUGGUAAUACAGCAGCCGAGCGCACGUGUGUGCAAUGGAAAACCCCAGAGAGGCAUCUGACUGAGGAUUCCUCAUUAUCCGCAAUUUCAAAGAAAGACAUUCAGCUUAAUUCUGCAGACAUUGCUUAUAAGCCCCUUAAGGAUGCACUCGCUUUUCAAAGACACGAUGAAAGGCUUUCGUCCUCUACCUUUCAUGAGCUUCUCGAGUCCUCCUGGAUGUCUGCAAACUUGCAUUGCUAGAUGCUAAACUUCAACACAACUGAACGUGCAAUCAGCUUAUCUGUGUCCACCGCAGCGGUUUCCUCUCGCACUAAACCUGUUGUCUCUGACGGCCAAUGCAUCUAUAGAAGAAGUGAACGGUUUCAGUGCUGUAAUACAAGACUGGGAUCUAGUUACAACCCUAGAGUUUCUAUACACAGCAAAUCAAGGGAAUUUCCUUAAAAAAAAUCCCAUUUGCAUAAAAGAUAAAAGAGCUGAAAGACUUUGAGAAGCAAUCUUAAAUGCCUAAGCAAAUGAGCAAACCUCACGUUUGUUUUUGUUAACACUUAGGCUUUAGCGUAGCGUUAUUUUCAAAAUGUCACUCCCCGGACAUUUCAUUUUUGAACUACAGUCGUACAGUACAUACAACAACCAAAGUCAUUUAAUGUUGGCAAAUGUACAUUGGUCUGUUUCAGAUGUUCUUUAGCAGCACUCAGUGGAUGUUUCAUUUCUAAAGUGUUGCAAAACAAAUCAUUUUCCAUAAAUGUCGCCACAGAGGCAUGUGAUUCCACUGAACCUGAUUUCCUAAUCGCAUGGAUUUCUUUCAAGAAGAUUGCUUUUUUUUUUCUCAGAGUAAUUUCGCCAUACACAAGAUGCAACCACACCUUUAGAAGAUCCUUAUUUGAUCCCAUCGGGAUCUGUUUCCAUAAGGAAACCUCUUCACACUCCAGGUUUUGUUUUAAUAGGGUGUUUUGAAGGGAUAAUAUAUUUACAUUUAAUUUCAAAAACACAUUUUUAACAUAUUUCUUUUUAUUUGAUCUUUUUAUUUGAAAAGCUUGAUGUGGCACCAGAGGCUUAUGAUGACUCUGAUGAAAAGAAAAGAGAAGAAAGGUAAAGAAAACACAAGAUCUGUGUCAAGUGCCAGUGCUUGUGAAAGCGUUUCUGACUAUUCUGACAGAGCUGCUAUCACAAUAAUUAUCUAGCUUGCUGUGACAUGUACCUGUAGUUUUGGCCUCGGAGUAACAGGUAAAUUAAGAGCAUUCAGAACCCAUGUACUGUGUUAGGACUGAGAGUGAGAUUGCUGAUCUAGAGAAUGGGCCCUGAAUGGUCGCAGAUGUGAGGAUCUGUACAGGUUUCGUCUGCGGUUGCGCAGCCUGAGGAUGUGGACCAGUAGACUCCGGUUCCUCUCUCAAGCCUGCUGUCAUGACCGGAGACGGGCUCUGAGCAGAGCUCUGUACGCUCUGAGACGGGCCAUCUACAUGCGUCGUGCUCAAACUGAUGCAGUGGAGAGGAGGACAAGCGCUUUUCUGCUCUCUCACAGUUUUUACCAGUGGAAGAAUCACUAUGAGAGCAAACACCUGGAAAACACAUUCAACACAGCCGCUCUGAGAAAACGACUCGUUCCUCCCAGCCGUGCUUCAGUCCUGAGGACCACACGUUCCUCCUGUGAUUCAUCAUCAUCUGUGUGUACUGUACAAGCACUGGCUGCUCUGGAGGCAGGUGUGCUCGAGGUGGUCAUGUGUUCGGUGGGACAGGAGACUCCAGAGCAAAGCCUGGACCCUGUGGACAUCAACCUGGCAGAGGACACAGCUGUCCGCACAUCAGUUCAGGAUGCAUUUGUUAUCAUCAGCAUGGAAGGGCUUGAAGAUCAGGAACAGAGAGAUGAAGAUGGAGAAGUUGAUUCAGUCCAUUCAGAGGAGCCAGCUUCUUCACUCUUUCCAUCUCUGGAAGAAAAGAGCAGAAACCUGUCAAAACGACAGAGAGAAACGGUUCGUUUUGAGCCGACGCUCCCUGCUCUCCUGGUACUCCUGCGUUCAGAAGAACAAGCUAACACGAUUGAGCAGCAGAGCACGAUGGAUGCUUUCCAGAUGGACGUUAGCAGCAGCCUUCAGGAAGUGGAGAGAUGUCUCGGACAGGAAGCAGGACACCAGGAGAUGUCUGGAGAGAGUCCGCCUCCUGCAGGACAAGGGUAGAAUGCAGGCUGCGUUUGCAGUUUGGUGUCAAAGUGCUCGGGUAAGGAAGGAGUUAAGGAGAAUACGGGAGAAAUCACAGAGCUCAACUCUCCUGGUAAGUCAGCUUGUGUUCCUGUGCUUUCAUGUGACUGUUACACUCAGACAAGAUAUUCAGAUACUGGCAUUUAUACAAAAAAAAGUACUCUCUUCUCCGGGUGUGUGUGUUUAAAAACUGUGUGUGUGGGCACUUAGGAUGGUAUAAAUGCAGAGCACUAAUUCUGAGUAUGGGUCACCAUACUUAGCCACAUUGUAAUAGGUCCAGUGUGUUUUACACUGUUAGAAAAAAUUGUGAGAUAAAAAGUCACAAACAUUUUAUUUAUUUAAUUUUUUAUUCAGUGGCAGAAACGGGCUUCCAUAGUUAACAGUUGCAUGGAAAACACACAGUUAUACGUUACAUUUCCAGUCAUUAAAAUUAUUAUUCAGUCUUGUUUUUAUGAAAACCUUGAACUGUUAACUGAUCCAAAAUCCGAGCCUUAAGAUGUAUUGAUCGAUUGCUGUAAUGAAGAAUCAGCAAUGCUUUUAUAAAAUCUUGCCUUGUUCUUACGUGCCUCUAAAGUGUUACAUUAAUAACAGCUGAUGCAUCCUUCUUGCAUCAGAGCACUUGAUAUGAAGCAAAGAUUUGAAGUUGAGCCGUUGUGCACUAUUUAUGCCAGCAUGUUUUGUCAGGUGUUUGUCAGCGUGGAGCGCCCUGGUUCAGCGCAGUGCAUUACUUCUGUGUUACUGUCAUCAGAGAAAGGUGCUGGCACUCAAGACGUGCUUUCGGCACUGGAGCAGAUCUCGACAGCUGCAUGCUCUUCUCAAGCAUUUCCUCAUCCAGCAGUUUCAUUCAAGACAGAGACACACAGUGCUGAAAUGGAGAACAGGUAUUUCAGCAGAAGGACUAUCUGCCAGGCUCCUGCUCCACAACACUCUUCAGAAGUGGACAGAGAUAUUAGAGAAACACCGGCUGGCUAAAUCUCACAGAUCCGCUCAUGAUCGAGCUGUUCAGCGGGCUGUUCUUCUGGAGUGGGACAGACACACUCAGGCUGCUUUCUCUGAGCGAGUUCUGCUCUUCACAGACAGACUGGCUCAUCUUCAUCCGUCCUCCUCUGUCUCGUCCUGCUCAGAUCCACUGAUGUCCACCGCUGCGCCACAGUAUGAGCGCUGUGUGCUGCAGAGAGCCUGGCUCACCUGGAGAAAGAGACACAUCAGGAACAGAGUAUCUGCUGAUCACGCAGCCGCCGUUAACACCACGCCGUUAUCUCAGGUGUUGCAGGUGUGGUGGCAGCUUGCCCACAGGACAGACUCUGAGUCCUAACCAGUUCAGAUGAGUGAAGAUCAUAUCAGACUGCAGAAACUCACACACACCCAUUUACCCUGUCUAUUCAACAGGAGUACAACAACACAUUACAAACACUCCCUACCGUCCACUCUGGAAUGUUUUUCAAUGUUGGUUUAACACUGUUUGCAUUAGAUGAACAGUGUGUAGGGCCAAAUAUGAACACGUGCAGCUAGUCCGAGCUAAAUUGUGAUUGAUUUCAGGUGAGACUGAUAUCUUUGUCAUUUUGACUGGUUGGUCCACCUAACUCUGAUAUUAGUGCACAGGUGUGGAUAAAUAUCUCCAGAAGAAUGAGAUAUGCCGGCGGUUCAGAGGGUUGACUUAUGUAACGGCCCUAUAGUGAGUUCAGUAUGAGUGUGUGUCGGGAUACUGACUCCUCCUCUCAUGUGCAACGACAACUGGAAGAACCAAGAGUGUGUUCAGUGUUUUAUUAGUAUGCACUUAGCUUGCAGAGGUACUAAGCAUUUUUUAUGUACAAUAUAAGUUUUGGUUUAGAAUAUUUUCCAUACCACUUUUGUACAUUUUUU